rnacentral:lncRNA from 1 species
UUCGUCAUUUGGAUCUUGUUGGAGAUGAGGGAGGAGGUGCUCAUGGAGGACUUCAAGAAGUACGGGAGAUAAAAGAUAUCGAGAUGGAAGUCAUAUAGGAGAGGACUACGACUGUACAGCCUGUUUCCCGCACUCCCACCUGAACUCUAAAAUCCUUGCAUCCUCUGUUCCCCUUUCCUCGAGUCCUAUCCCCCUCCUCCGAACUCCACUCUCCCAAAUUUCUCCAAUCUCUAGGGGUUUUACGUGGUCAAGAAGGGGCCUUCGACGAUGGGGAAGGUGGAGCUGCUACCAUCUGUGUUGUCACUAAUAUUAGAGCAAGAAAAUCUCUUCAUUGGUGGGAACUUGUAGAAAAAGAAGGAGGAGAUGCUUGGGCUCCAUGUCAGACUAUUCGGGCUCUAUAUUUAUGUCC